rnacentral:rRNA from 1 species
CCUACGGGGUGCAGCAGUGAGGAAUAUUGGUCAAUGGACGAGAGUCUGAACCAGCCAAGUAGCGUGAAGGAUGACUGCCCUAUGGGUUGUAAACUUCUUUUAUAUGGGAAUAAAACGUUCCACGUGUGGGAUUUUGUAUGUACCAUAUGAAUAAGGAUCGGCUAACUCCGUGCCAGCAGCCGCGGUAAUACGGAGGAUCCGAGCGUUAUCCGGAUUUAUUGGGUUUAAAGGGAGCGUAGGUGGAUUGUUAAGUCAGUUGUGAAAGUUUGCGGCUCAACCGUAAAAUUGCAGUUGAAACUGGCAGUCUUGAGUACAGUAGAGGUGGGCGGAAUUCGUGGUGUAGCGGUGAAAUGCUUAGAGAUCACGAAGAACUCCGAUUGCGAAGGCAGUUCACUGGACUGCAACUGACACUGAGGCUCGAAAGUGUGGGUAUCAAACAGGAUUAGAUACCCGUGUAGUC